AUGUACAGACAAACAGACAAACAGACAGAUAGAGGCGGAGACAGGGAAAGAGAGAGAGUUCUUUCUGCUUAAGAACCCGGUCACUGGGAGACAGAAAAAAUGGAAUCUAAGGCCGACCCAGAUCUCAGGUGGAUUUCAAGUGGCAGAGCUCAGUUCCUACCCGCUGGCUUCCUUAGUUUAUUCUAAGAUGGAAAAACGACAUAUCGGCGAUACUGACACCCGAGUGAUGCCUGGAGCACAUGAUCCGGUUUCGGGGUCGGGUUCAUUGAGGUCGUUGACACAAUAACAUCGCAUUCCGGAUUUGUCUGGCAGGGCAACACACUCCGCACCCGGCCCGCAGUCGGCGAUGGACGUACAAACCACUGAACCACCUCCGCGCGCUCCGCCUCCGCUACCACCAGCAACAGCACCAACAGCACCAGAAGCAGCACCAGCACCCUGGCCUAGUCUGCUUGGAUGCCCAGGGUGCAUCACAUUGUCAUUUUUGUGAACUCUAUGCUUGACCUUGGCCUUCAAUAAAGGGCCUUUAUCUCCUC